CCUGUUUAUUGUAAUAAAAAAGAGAAAACAGUGUUCAUGGUGUAUGCACCCUCUAUCCACUGUGAAAAGGGAGAGCAAUAACAGGAGUAUGCAGGCAUGACCAAAACAGAAAGAUCCCUAGACCAUGGAGUAAUAGUACAUGUAUUUCUAACCAGUGUUACCCACAGUCUACCAAGAAAACUAGUACCGAAUAAGGUUUCACACACACAAUGGUGGUUCAUGUGAGAGGAAGAAGUGAUUUGUUGGAGAAAGUUCUUGCUUGUCUUUAUCUACAAAUGAUGUUCAUUUUACAGUACACAGAACAUUGAGGGAUGGAUUGAACAAAGCUAUAUAUA